rnacentral:rRNA from 1 species
CCCCUCUUACAGGUAAUGGGGGGAAACGUUCGGAAACGGACGCUAAUACCGCAUACGUCCUACGGGAGAAAGCAGGGGAACUUCGGGCCUUGCGCUAUCAGAUGAGCCUAGGUCGGAUUAGCUAGUUGGUGAGGUAAUGGCUCACCAAGGCUACGAUCCGUAACUGGUCUGAGAGGAUGAUCAGUCACACUGGAACUGAGACACGGUCCAGACUCCUACGGGAGGCAGCAGUGGGGAAUAUUGGACAAUGGGCGAAAGCCUGAUCCAGCCAUGCCGCGUGUGUGAAGAAGGUCUUCGGAUUGUAAAGCACUUUAAGUUGGGAGGAAGGGCAUUAACCUAAUACGUUAGUGUUUUGACGUUACCGACAGAAUAAGCACCGGCUAACUCUGUGCCAGCAGCCGCGGUAAUACAGAGGGUGCAAGCGUUAAUCGGAAUUACUGGGCGUAAAGCGCGCGUAGGUGGUUUGUUAAGUUGAAUGUGAAAUCCCCGGGCUCAACCUGGGAACUGCAUCCAAAACUGGCAAGCUAGAGUAUGGUAGAGGGUAGUGGAAUUUCCUGUGUAGCGGUGAAAUGCGUAUAUAUAGGAAGGAAACACCAGUGGCGAAGGCGACUUACCCUGGACUGAUACUUGACACUGGAGGUGCGAAAGCGUUGGGGAGCAAACAGGAUUUAGAUACCCCUGGGUAGUCCCACCGCCGUAAACGAUGUCAACUAGCCCGGUGGGAAGUCCUUGGAACUCCUAAGUGGGCGGCCAGCUAAACGCAUUUAUAGUUGGACCGGCCUUGGGGGAGAUAACGGCCCGCAAGGGUUAAAAACCUCAAAAUGAAAUUGAAUCGGGGGGCCGGCA